AAGGGAGACCUAAUUCAGGUAUAAGACGAAAAAAAAGUAGUCCCUACCAAGAAUCAAUCCCAAAAGGUCGGAACGAGGUAUGAGGCUUUCAAACUAGGUUCUGGGUUCAUAAAAGACCUGAAUCAGGAACAAGGGCUAUUAGCUCAGGUGGUUAGAGCGCACCCCUGAUAAGGGUGAGGUCCCUGGUUCGAGUCCAGGAUGGCCCACCUGCACAGGUGGCAAAAACAAGAGAAGCGAGGAAUCAGCACCUUAUCUUAUAUACAUAUAUAAGAGAGGAUGCUGGCUCUGAGUACAGAGUCCAGAGGAACCUUGAAAACUGCAUAGAGCUAGGUGAAAAAGCCAAAAAAGAAGACCGCAA
rnacentral:tRNA from 1 species